UUUUCCUGGUCCUAAAUUCAUUGCCAGUUCCCUAGUCUGCUGCAAAUGUGCCACGUCAAGACUGGAAAUCACAGCCCUUUAGUGUGUCUCAGUCGAUGCAGCAGACAGGGUUCAGGGGGGAAGCUGAACAAGCCCCUGGUGCAGGAAGACAGGCUCUCCCCAGCCCCGGGACAGGAUUUUCCACACACCGAUGGAAGCUUCAGGAGAUCCUGCUCCGUCGCCCCAGUGUUCAGACUACCUGUUCAGGACAAUGCCGUUGUACAGUAGUCUGCACAUUGGUUAGACUGGGCAAGGGCCAGCAACGCCAUGGACGGCUGGGGACACAAUGUGCUGCUUCCAAGGAGAGGACAGCUGGGUGCUCCUUUGUUGAAUCUCAUAUCCAGUGUUUCUCUUCACAGGUUUUGCAAACUAGGGACCAAGAAGCCCUCAGGGACUCUGCCAGGGGAGAGGACUGCUCCAGGGAAGACCAGCGGGUAAGGCCUCUGGGAUUGCGUACCUGGUCUGUGAUUGGGGAACUAGAUAGAGAUCCCAUCACCUGUGUGAAGACGCUGGAGACACUGAGCUAAGGGACAGAUAACCGUGAACUUAACUUUCAAAAGAGCAAGGUCGUAUGGUAAAUUGUGAUUUUCUGUGUGUUUUUUAUAAGUCUAAAUGUUGAUCGUUCAAAUGCUUUCUUAAAUGUAAGGGUCUUCCGCUUCAAAAUAAAAGGUGGGGAAAAAAACCUCACUCCAGACAAGUAGCAAAAACUGAACGAGACUUAGUUUUGAAUGGUUGAAACUGAUAAUUCAGAGACUUAAACUCGAGCAUGGAUGAGCUAUGUAUGCAACCUCUAACACUCCAGGAAUGAAUGCAUUUUGCCCUAAAGGAAAAAAAUGCAAUUUUCAAAACUCUUGUAUGAACAGGGAGCUUUUCUGUUUAUCUAUAUAAUAGAAACACCAGAAAUAAUAGUACCUAACGAUAAGAAGCAGUCUAGUCUUUUGUUUUUUGCUUUUUUGUUUUGUUAUUUUACUAUCAGACAAUGCAAACGCACUUAGCCAGAGAUGAGGGCCCAAGUGCCAAACCCACAUCUUACUGACUCAGCAACUUAGCAGGCCAGGGGAAUAGCGCUCUGUCUUUAGUGGGCUCACUAGAUAACAUUGAAAUUGUUCUUCUAAAAUCCAAGAAUGGCUGAUACUUGCUGGUCAGCUGAGCCUGCUGGCCCAUCUUUUUUUUUUUUUUUUUUUUUUUUUUUAACAAGGCUCUCACUUGUCCUGGGCCUUUGAAAUGAUAAGGCACGUUGUCUAAAAAGAUGCUGAUAAAACAGGAAUUUGUAAACGAAGGCAAAAGUUUUCUUUGGUCAGUUUCCAGCUGUCCUGGAGGUGAAGGAGAGUGGGGGAGGUAGGCAGACUGGAAGCAAGAAAACUUCCUCUGGCUGAAUGAAAUACUGAAAGAGAAAAUACUAGAAGAAUCUGGGUCACUAAGUAAGCUGGGAGGUUUGUAUUGAGCAUCAGCGGUGGCUCCGUUAAAGAAAGUUCUGGGAGAAAAUGUUGCUGCUGUACCCAUAAAGUCUCGCCUUUCAUUUAUUUUCACCCCUGGAAAAUUUCAUUCCACAUUCUAUGGGAUGAAAUAUUAUCUGCUCAUUGAGCUUUCUGUGCAAAACGAAUACACUGUCUUUUGUCUUUUAAAGUGUGAAUCUUUGUCUAAGUUACACAUUCUCCAAUAACCCAAAGGAGAGUGCAAACUCUCCUUAGUAAAAUACUAUAGUAUAGCUGCAUCUCUGAGUUUUCUUCUUACAAUUUUUAUUUUUAAAAAAUUAUGCUUCAUAUAAUCCCAAAACUGGUAUCUUGGUCAUAAAAUUUUCUGAUGAAUUAUGGCAAUUAAGUAAGAAAUAUAGCGGGGGACAUUUAACUGCUUGUCACUUAGGUGAAACAGGCGAGGCACCAUUCAUUGUUCUGUGAGAGUUGAAGAAUCUUAAUUAUUUUUAAAAGAAGAGUUGAGAUUAUAUAUAUAUACACACAUACAUAUCACUUUGUUUGCACAGGAANNNNNNNNNNNNNNNNNNNNNNNNNNNNNNNNNNNNNNNNNNNNNNAGUAAAAAGUAACAAUUUCUUUGUAAACCCGGAGUCUCUGCCUGUUCUUGGUUGGAGUUCUAACACACCAUUUUCAAGGAAAAUUCUAAAUGAAUGAAGGAGUGUGGUACUUAAUUUUAAAUGUAUGAGUUAUAUUAAAAGUACAAAAAAGUUGUUUGAUAACCCUCUGCUGUAUGAAGACAUGGUGUUAAGCCUGUGUGCUGGUGGAUAUAUCCCUUAUAGACACUUUAGGAUAAAAAUAAAGAUAUCGAUUCCAAAAUAAUUAGAAGAAUGUCUAAUUUUAUUCCAAUAUUACUUCCAAAGAGGAUAUACAAAUAUUUUAGGGAUGGUGGAAUCUAGGGCAGAAGAGAGUAACCAGCAGCAAACAUCUUGCUCUGGAUAGUAUGGUAAGUCUAAAUAGAAAAGUGAAACAUUGUAGGUGCUCAUAAAAAGGAAACUGUUUGCAGGGUUUGUCCAACCUUAACGUUAGUGAAAAUUGCACCCUUGUUUCUUAUUUCAGAGAAUCAAUGAUGGAUAAGCUAGGCUAGGUACUGAAGUCAAAAAGAUUUUUUUCAACCAUCAGAGAGAAAGGAAAUUCUAAGCUGCAACCUCAACUCCAUCACUUCAGAGUCUAAUUUCUCAAAACAAGGUUUUUUGAUUUUUUUUUUUUAACCAUAGAUCUCAAAAUCAAGGAAAGUUUGUUUGUACGGAGACAAAGUGUGUCACAGAUCGCUCUCGUCCAAUUAGUUAACAUGCUAGCCCUCCUUCCUGCUUGCCCUUGAACCUUUGGCUAGGAGAAGGUAUUUGUUUUUAAAAGACAAUCUCCCCCACCUUUUGCCUAUGGACCACCCAAGUAUUUCACUCCACGGGAAAGAGAAAGCUUAGGCAUAAAAGAUACUACGAAAAUAAUGUGCCCUCUCCCCCUUGUUGGAGUCUAAAGCUGAUAUGGGAAAAAGAAACUGCAAGUUGUUUAAAAAGUUUAAAGAGUCACUCAUCCACAAAUGUUCAUUAUCACUGAAGGAAGCUUAUCAUCCAGUGAGUCUGUAAGGGAACUGCUCUUUAAAAUCAACCUUUUCUCUUAUCUCAUGACAAUAGCCUACCCACCACCAUGAUGUCCAAAUAGUAACUAUGAGACCAUCAUAUAGAGAUCCCAGCUUAAAAUAAGCAAGGGGGAGGGGGGCAGACUCUAGCCUGAGGCAAGUGAAGGUUGAAACUUCCCAAAUCUUUCUUUCUUUUUUUUUUUUUAACCUUGGUGUCCUGCAGAUGAUGUCCAUGUAAAUAUUUAGCCUCUUUUCAAAGGACUUAAUACUGAGUUUCCUUUUUUUUUUUUUUUAAGUCAUCUGAGUUAAAGAAAAUCAUCAAGUCUUUACUUCAUAUCUUCUGACUUCUUGUGAAAGCCAGUUUAUUACAGUUGGUGUGGUUCAAGUUUCCUGCUGGAUGUUUAGGAGAGAAUUAUUUUCUUACAUUUCUGUCUUGGGACACGACACCAUCAACACAUUAUCACAGACUAUGACAACUACAUAUUAAUGUUUGCAUCUUUUAAGUAGUCACCAAAUAAGUAUGGCUUGGGAAUGCAAGGUGGCGGGAGUCUUUCUGACUUUUUUAACGUGUCUAGAGCAGGUUUAAAUUAUAAAUUAUAAUUAUAAUAUUAAANAUGCUACAUAUUCACUAUAAAUAUUUUUAAUCGAUCAAAAAAUAAAUUGUCCCCAAAUCUCAUGAAUAAAAUAAUUAUUCCCCCUGCCACCUUAUUUUGAUUAAUUUUUCUCUUCAGAAAAGCCAUUAUGAUAGUUUAGCCUCAAACAUUUUAGAUAGCAUGGUAUAAAUAAAACUGCUUCUUACUGAAGGAUAACACAUGGACUCACUGUUUUUUGUAUUUUUCAGGCUGUACCGUUCCUUUACUUGAGCAGAGUAAACUGGAUCAGAUUACUUAAGGGAGAGGGGAAAGCAAUACAGAAUUAUAGUAACUUUUAAUGGCUGCUAAUAUAUUCUUCGUAAGUGAAUCACUCUAUUAUGCUUUUCUGUUGUACUGAAUGAAACAACAAAGGAAAUAGUAUUUCAAGGUAUUCCAUUUUUGUAUACUUGACUUUGUAACUACUUGAAUAGCAGCCAAGCUCUUGUGCUCUGAAGUGUUGGACAGAAGCACACGUUUAUCUUCUUGAACUUAAAGAAGUCCAGAUAUAGUUGCACUUAUCAACUCGGUUAAAAGGAUACCAUCUCUAGGCACUGCACAAAAGUUCAAAUGUGCAGCAAACUGUUCUUUUUCUCAUUCUCAAAAAAGAUUUUAUUGUUCAUAAAACUUCUGCCUGCAUUUUUUUUUCUUUUUAGGUUUUCCAAUUAAAGGUAAAUAAGGAAGUNNNNNNNNNCUUUAAAGAUAAUCUCUAAUGUAUACCUCUUGGAUAAUAAUGUAUUUUGUUUUUAAAGAAAUUCCAAUUUUUAGACUUUCAACUCUUUGGCUGUUUUUGUGUUUAAAAUGACAGUGAAGUUGUUAAAUAUCUCUGCAUAUGCAAAUUGACUAAGUAUGUUAAAAAUAGCAGAAUUCCUGACUCAGCAGGAUUGCAGUUUGCUUCUGUGUACUUAACACAAUUAAUUCAGAUUGUCAUUUUGGAUAUGAAGUGAACUUUCCUUUUCUGUGUUUAAGGUCCUACUCUGUAAUGAUAUUGUAUUAACAACAUCAAAAACACAUUCAGAGCACUAGUGUGGGAAAGAACAUUCUAGAUCAUGACUUUGAUUCAUGGUCUCACCCUGCUUGUUAAUCAAGGGGGAUAGAAGCUUAUGAACUCUUUGGUUUUCAUAUGGAUAUUAUAAAAAGAAAAGAAAAAUUUAAAUACAUUUCUGUUGCUUGGAGAGAUAUAUAUAUCCAAAAUCUGUUAGGUGGAUUGCCAGACACUUUAGGCUCAUUAAUAUUUUGAGAAUGGCUGCUGUUACCAUGUAGAUAACAAUAUAUUUUUUCAUGGGCAAGGCUAUGGCACUUACCUACUCUGAAAAACAUGUAUAAACAUAGACUUUAAUUUCACUAUUAAGAGAUGCAGAGGUCUUGUGAAAAGAAAAAAACAUAUGGUUUGAUUACUUUGAAUUCUGACUGCAUGAGGGCCAGUAACAACAGGAACUGGAUUUUAAAAGUUUAUGUUGUUAUUUUUUUUUCCUUAAAAUCAUGUGAAUUUUCUGUUUUUGACAAUUAUCCUUGUUAGCAACAUUUGGAUCAAAUGUAUGAGUGUACUUCUGAAUAAAGCCAAACGUCUAACUUCUUUUUAGUUCCAUAAUGUUUUAAUGUUUAAUUCUAUUGUGUGUUUCUCUCCUUUCCCUUUAUCCCCCUGUCCUUCCCCCCUAAAUCACCAAAUCUGGAAAACAGGCUGAUUGUAUCUGUCCCUGAGCAAAGGAAACCUGAAGGACCCAAGGGCCUGGCUGGACAGAGUUGUCAUGUGUCUGCCUGUCUACACUUGCUGUGCAGAACAUCCGCUCACCUGUACAGCAGGCACAGACAGGCAGUCACAUGACAACCCAGCCUGAAUGACCACCAGCCAUUGAAAGAAAGCUGCCCUCACAACAUAGCAUCUACACCAAGAGCUACAACCACAGUGAGGGGGUUGGGGGGCCUGGGGUUUGAAACUGUUGGCUUAUUAAAAGAAAAACUCGUAUGUAAUCCUUUGAUUUUUUUUGAUUCGCAUAUUAAAACCUACCCGAAGUAAAGUGAGUGGUGCCUAUGAAGCCUAAUAAAGCCCAUUUCUGAAAAUGCUCCUGUGUCUGCCAUGGUCCUACUGCCUCCACCACACUCUCGACAUUCACUGCACACACCUUUGCUGCCUCCUGACACUGACGUGAAAACCAAUUCGACAAAACCAUUUGGCUUCAGUUGGAUGUUUGUCGAAGAGGAAAUUAUUCUGCUGGGUCUUGUCUAUAAAUGAUUGUUUAUUUGUACUGUAACUUUUAAGUGGGGGGGGGGGGGGAGGGGAGAGAGGGGAAGUAUGGAGAGAAGAGACAGAAUAAACAAGUAACAAUAUAUUCUAAAGGAUCAAGUAUUUCAAGUUAACAAACUGCCAGUCUGGCCUGGGUAAAAGAUAUUUUAAAAUAUCCCUAGUAGAUUUUUCACUCAUAUUCAAAUAACAGUUUCUCUUCUUGGGAUAAACAAGAAUAUUGAACCGUCAAUAUUUCUGAGUGCUAUAGCACACACAGACUAGCUACCAUGUUGCUGUUUAGCUAAGAAAGCUUUUCUAGUGCAGUCACAGGGAUAAAAUAUAGAAAUCUGAUUUGCUUACUUGGGAUCUAUGUUUCCAGUCACGUAAGCUCUCAACCCAAGAUUUUUCAAACCCGUUGAUAAUUUCAAAAAAGCAAAGAUAGCCCUGCAUGACAUAUUUUGCCCUAAUUUCUGAGGAAAUAUCAAAGUUUCUGUUCUGACAUGAACUGGAGAAGUGGUCAGGGCUGGCUUUGUAUAUGAGCAUUUAAAAAAAAAAAACAACAAUAAGGAUAACAUGCAGAGACAGGUAAAUUUAGAAAAUUAUUCUAUUUUGACCUUGUUUAUUAACAUAUUUUACCUUUCAAUGUUUCACAUUUAACUUUUUCUUAUAUUCUAAUCAAGUUUUAAAAUUAUAAUCUGAGGCUACCCCAAACUAUUUUGUAAUGAUUGAAAUAACAAUCUCAAGCAAACUGCCUUGCCCACAGGCCUUUCAUUUUUAAAAUAUAAGAUUUAAUCUUAAGGCUAAGAGUUCACAGUUUCCAAAUUUUCUGAAUUCUAUGGUAUUUGUACUAGAUGUGACACUAUACUUUCUUUAAAAGAAAGAGUCAUAGGCAAAACUGUGUCAUGAAAAUAUGAAUAAAGUUAAAUGUCUUGCAUGUAAACAAUCUGGACUCACAGAAACUAUAUCCCAUGCAAAAAAUGAUCUGUUUUGCCUUUAUGAAACUCGUGAGGAAUUAACAGGGCUUUUUGCCUUAGAGGAAACUCCCAUGACCACCCAACAGAAUGCUGAAUGAUACAUCACAAAACGUGAAGUAUAAACAGGAAGUAUAAACUGUCCAUAAGGCUAUUUGCAUAGUCCUACCCAACUUUAAAUGCUUUACAGGAACUGCAGCAGACACUACCAGAGCGCUCAUGAUGAGUUAUUCUUCCAGGGCAGGAAUGUACCCCGUUCAGGGUGACACAGUGUCCCAGUCAGAACACGAAGGAACUGGGGGUUAACAGGGAUAUCCAGCAUAAUGUAUCAAAUAAUUUUUCCAUAAAUCAUAAAAAAUACCCUUAAAAACGUUUCUGACUCUGCUCUCAAAAGCCUUGACUGUCUUAUAUGCACCUUAAAUUCAUAAAAUAAGGCACACUUGAGAUUUUAUCCUUCUGGGAAAGGGGUAAUAUAAAGAAUGUGGACUUUGCAGCAUUAGAUUUGGAAACAACAAACAGUAGUAGUCGGUUUGUAGUUAAAGGAUACUUUGAGUAAUUUUGAAAUGGCACUGGCCAUUACCGUGUAUUAAAUAACACUUAUUUUAUUUCCUAAAUCAUAAAUCUUUGGAGAAUGCCAGGAUGUGGAAAUAAUCAACCUCAUAUUUAAAAGCACAAUGGAAGUUACUUUCUAUAGGAAUAAAAAUUACAAGUAUG
ensembl:antisense Dnm3os dynamin 3, opposite strand